UAAUGUUUACUUAUUUCUGUGUUUGAUCAAUUAUAUUAAUGUCAUAUUAAUAUUUAUAUGAACUUCCUAACCAAAUUUUAAACAGUAUAAAAUGUUAUGACAUCGAUGCAGUUUUUUUCCGAGCCGAGUUAAAAUAUCAAUUACUGUUGUCAGUAAGUUUUGUGGCACUAACAACAUCUUACACAAGCAGUUGUCUCUUUCUCUCCUUUCCGAAAAAUUUGUUACAAAAUGUUGUUAUAUAUUUGCAAUACGGUGAACCCUCAAAGCCAUCAUGCCUGACGCAGCUCCUCGGUUAGCUCAAGCGCGGAUCGCGGGUUCCCAACCCGCUGCAUCAGGCCGUGAGGUAUCCUAUCAAACAAAGUAAUUUCUGCUGCGCUUCACUCACACUCUUUGGUUCGCCCUCCCAACCUUGGGUUCCAUUAAAAUUUCUUUGGCAACCCCCUUCUCAAUACCACGUCCACCAGAUAUUUAUAUAGAUUUUAUCUUUCUCCUCAACUCAUCCCCCCGAGUAAAAAAUUUUAGCACCUGCACAUGAUUAAAUAUCCAUUUGUUUUCAACUUACUGUAUAGUUUAUUUUGGACAAUCUUUCAUCUCCCUUAACUAACACUAACAUAGUACUAACAUUAAAGUGUAUGUCGAUACAAAAUUAUACCAUUCUUGACAAUAAACGUUUUACAAGAAAAUUAACUGAAACGAAAACAAUUUUUGGGGCCGUUAAAAACCAGUACCCCAAUAUUAAAAGGAUUACACCAACGUACGGGUUUUCAAACAUAAACCUUUUCCAAUCGUAACGUCUUCCUUAAACCUGCCUAAAAGAGCUCUUAGAGGGCGGUUUUAAAGGGUAGAUUCUUAGAUUUCAAACGGAACGGAUUCUUAAUAUGGAGGUAGGUUUACUGGGUCUCUACAAAGAAACUGACUUCGACUCAAAAAAAAGCUCUUAAAAAUAAUAAAAAGGAAAAAAUAAUAAAAUAUGCAAAAAAAAAGAAAUAUAUAGGUAUGUAUGUCAAGCUAUAGCUUACUAACUAAAACUUGCAUAAAAUAAAUAAAUAAUACAGCAACUCGGCAAACGUGCACUUAUGUAUGCAAACGUUAGCGCCCCAGUUUCCGGCGCUUAUCUUGGCAUCGCUGCAAAAGCCUUUGCACACUUUAACAGACUGUCAUAUAACAGCGUGUGUCUCAAAUUUUACAGCCGCCUGUAACCUCCUGGGUAAAUUCCCACUACAGCGACUUCAAGCUAAUCGCCCCAACAGUUCAGCUGCUUUCAGGUACCGGGUGAUACGUAUGCCCUCAAUAAAAGAUUAUUCUUAAAAACUAGCACUUACACAAAAGUUGUGCCUCGCACUCUAAAUCUAGGGGAAGAUCGUUUCACCUGCCCUACCAGCUUCCGGCACAACUUUUGCGGGCUCCGAUGUAUCCUAAUUCAGUAAUAAAUAAACGAUGAUCUCCUCUAUGGGCGCCUUUGGGAAUUUGUCGUGCGGCUCCUAAUGGCGCUACGUAUAAUCAACUUUUUAUUUAUUUACACAUAUAAAAUUUGAUUUAACCUUUUUUUAUACCUUUUUUUAACUUAAAAACGAUUUCAAUUCUCACAUGAAUUUACCGCGGACGUUUUAAACAAAAGGAAACCGCACUCUCGGCAGUGGCAAGUCCUGCCGUUGACUAACGUUUUGGCGACUCCGCUAGAAACGACCUACUUUUAUAUCCUUGGUUUCCUUAUUUAUCGGCGUUGGAGCCACCCCCCACAUCCUUCUGAACCUUUUACCUGUAUUAGUAUCCUCGAUAAUCUAACUAUACCUUUUCUUUUCCUUUUCUUCCAGUGCAUUAUACCAGUUGCUAAAAACACUGGCCUGGUAAUGCCGAUAAAGCUUUUUAUUGUCUUUGGUAGGCAACUGUCAAAACAAUAACCUAUACAACGCACAGGCAAGGAGUUUUGGAAAAUCACUAGCAUUAACACCAUGUGCGACUAGCUAGCUUGCAGUGUGUGGUGGCCGGUGCUUCAUGACAUCAGCAUCAAUUCGCCGGACUGGUUGGGCAACUAUCAAAAAAAAUUUCAUCCAAGGGCACGACGCAGACUACAUACGUACAUAUAUUUCCACAAUUCUCCUAGGGUUAUUUUGCUGGACGCGCUGAGCCUAUUUUGAGGGAAUCACCAACAAAAAACCUCAUGUAGGAAGGAGAAGAAAGAAAUCGGACCAUCGGGUGGGGCACCUUCUAAAUGGCCUCUUUAUAUGGAGAUGCAUCAGCUUUUAGCACCGUAUAAAAGCUACAAUUCCGAAACCCUGGUCGAAGAAAGCCUCCGAGUAUAUUUCUGACAUGAAAAACCGCUUCUCAUAA
rnacentral:lncRNA from 1 species